rnacentral:piRNA from 1 species
UAGGGAUCUCUUCUUGAACUUCUGGGAUCU